GCCAAAUCCGACUCGCUCCACUCCACCGCUGGGUACGGGUGGGGCUAAAAAAGUUCUUGGCUGGCGGAUGACGAACCCUGUCGGCCGGGGGCGCAUCCACUAGACUCAAAUCGACCGGAUAAGCACGUAGACGUUUGUUCUGAAUCAUCACGGGACGCGGGUUCGACUCCCGCCGCCUCCAUCC
rnacentral:tmRNA from 1 species